GAAAUGCGAUAAGUAAUGUGAAUUGCAGAAUUCAGUGAAUCAUCGAAUCUUUGAACGCACAUUGCACUCGCCAGUAUUCUGGCGAGCAUGCCUGUUCGAGCGUCAUUUCAACCAUCAAGCUCUGCUUGCGUUGGGGAUCCGCGGCUGCCCGCGGUCCCUCAAAAACAGUGGCGGGCUCGCUAGUCACACCGAGCGUAGUAACUCUACAUCGCUAUGGUCGUGCGGCGGGUUCUUGCCGUAAAACCCCCAAUUUCUAAGGUUGACCUCGGAUCAGGUAGGAAUACCCGCUGAACUUAAGC
rnacentral:misc_RNA from 1 species